UACGUAGGGUGCAAGCGUUAGUCGGAAUUACUGGGCGUAAAGCGUGCGCAGGCGGUUUUGUAAGUCUGUCGUGAAAUCCCCGGGCUCAACCUGGGAAUGGCGAUGGAGACUGCAAGGCUAGAAUCUGGCAGAGGGGGGUAGAAUUCCACGUGUAGCAGUGAAAUGCGUAGAGAUGUGGAGGAACACCGAUGGCGAAGGCAGCCCCCCUGGGC
rnacentral:rRNA from 1 species